AUACCUAUAACAUAGGAUAAUACCUACAUUAAAUACCGGAUGAUAGGAUACCGCUAAAUCAGCAACAAUUUUAGCGAUAAUUUAGUAAAACCACUACACUUUGAUAAAUAGAUGCUAAA